CCUACGGGAGGCAGCAGUGAGGAAUAUUUGUCAAUGGCCGGAAGGCUGAACCAGCCAUGCCGCGUGAAGGUCAGUGCCCUAUGGGCGUUAAACUUCUUUUGUGCGGGAGCAAUAAUGGUCACGUGUGGCCAGACGAGAGUACCGUACGAAUAAGCAUCGGCUAACUCCGUGCCAGCAGCCGCGGUAAUACGGGGGAUGCAAGCGUUAUCCGGAUUUAUUGGGUUUAAAGGGUGCGUAGGCUGUGAGGUAAGUCAGCGGUGAAAUGCCCCCGCUCAACGGGGUGAAGUGCCAUUGAUACUGCCUUGCUGGAAUGCGGAUGCCGUGGGAGGAAUGUGUGGUGUAGCGGUGACAUGCAUAGAUAUCACACAGAACACCGAUUGCGAAGGCAUCUCACGAAUCCGCGAUUGACGCUGAUGCACGAAAGCGUGGGUAUCAAACAGGAUUAGAUACCCGGGUAGUC
rnacentral:rRNA from 1 species